rnacentral:lncRNA from 1 species
GAGCUGUGGAAUGAGAAGAGCAGUGGGAAGUAUGAGAAGAAGGUAUAUGUUUUGCCGAAGCACCUUGAUGAGAAGGUGGCUGCACUUCACCUUGGGAAGCUUGGAGCUAGGCUCACGAAGCUUAGCAAGGAUCAGGCUGAUUACAUCAGUGUGGCUGUUGAGGGUCCAUACAAGCCUACUCACUACAGGUACUAAGGUUGUUGUGAUGAUGAUGAAUGGAGAGCGAAAGCAAAACUGGUUCAUGGAGUGGCUUGAUUGUUUCAUUUUCUUUGAAUUUUUUGUGCUAGAACUUCACAUCCAUGGUAGAAGAACAAUUGUUUUCUGAAUUUUG